UACAGAGGUGGCGAGCGUUAUUCGGAAUUAUUGGGCGUAAAGGGCGCGUAGGCGGCUUGACAAGUCCCGGGUGAAAUCCCUCGGCUCAACCGAGGAACUGCCUUGGAAACUGUCUGGCUUGAGGCCGGGAGAGGGUAGUGGAAUUCCCAGUGUAGCGGUGAAAUGCGUAGAUAUCUGGAGGAACACCGGUGGCGAAGGCGGCAUCCUGGACCAAUACUGACGCUGAGGAGCGAAAGCCAGGGGAGCAAACGGG
rnacentral:rRNA from 1 species